GUAGAGGGAUUUGAAAAAUCCGUGCAAUCUCACUGCAGCCGCCGCUACAGCGAAGUAUUCCUUGUUUGUUGGCGAAUUGAUCGAGCUAUACGUCAAUUGGAGUCAUAGUGUUUCUUUAGAUUUAGACGCUUUCGUGGAAUUUAUUGUGCUAAUAUUGCAAGUGCUGGCUGGACCUUCGCUGAAGGCGUCUUCCUUGCUUGAAUUGAUAAAUUUGUAGCAAAUGAAAGGAACAUUCCACUCAAUGGCCUGGCGAUGGGCACUCAUGGUUGAGGAAACUUUCAGCGAUUCCACAACCACACAAAAGUUGUCGUUGAUCAUUUAGAUUGCCACAGCUUUCACCAAACCACAAGUCCUGCGAGCCCAGCCAGGUUGAGUCGACUAAGUGUCUAAGUCAAUGUGUUGUUAUUGAACACUUCAUUGACAGGGACAGAAGUUAACUACAUAUUCCAAGAUGCACUAGGCCCCUCUGGAGUAAAUACUCCAUACGUUUCAGCAGAUGAGUCAGAUUAUGGUGUUAUAACAAACAGUGAAGAUUUACAACUUAGCAAGGAAUAGAUUGAGUUUUUUUGCAAGGAUUUCUUCAUCUUCCAGGUAGGUAAUAAAGAAAGAUGGAUCUUUGGCCCCAAGGGUUCGAUGCCCUUUUGUAACACCUUUCGGUAAAGAAGGCCAGCUUUCUCCGAGUUACCAAAUUUGACGACCAGUUUAUCUUAUUCUCAAUAAACACUUUACAAUUUAAUAACACGAAAGAUCGUCUUUUUCGUGUGUAAGCGGGAUGUCGUUCAUAAAUCAUAUUCUUCUUUUUUACGUGGCCCGACCGGAACUCAUGUGUUGAUUAAAUAUAUAUAACUAGGCUACCCGGAAUGAUUUACGAUAAAUAAAAUUAUAUUUUCUCUGAUAAACUUUUGAAUAAUAACAGUUCCAAUGAAUCAUUUCUGAACAUACAACAUAGAACAGACAGAAUUACCAAUGCAAUAAAUGUAAAUUUUAGUUAAAUUAUUAAAGAUUGGUCUUCAAAGGGUCAAAUAGAUUAACUCAAUGUCAAUAAAAAAUUACUGAUAGUAAAAUCUGUUAAAAUCAUGCAAAAUACAUCUCACAUAAUUCCGCAUAUAAUUCGUCGUCACUGUCAACUUUAGAAAGAAAUCAUUAGCAUUGAUCUUGCAAGUAAUUAAUCUCGCCGCAAGAUGUCCCGUAUCCACCUCCUGUCAGCGUAAAAGUUUUUUUUUUUUUCAGAACGCACCCUGAAUCCCUUUUCUGAAUCCAAACCGUCAAGUGACGAAUCCAACGAAUCCGAAUCCGGAUUCUUCACUUGACGUGCCCCAGAAGGGUUUCCAUUUCACAGCAGCUGAGAUCAGUGUUGGAGAUGAUGGUUCGGAACAACCCAUGGAAAGCUUAUCACUCAUUGAUGCUGUGAUGCCUGAUGUUGCAAGUCGUCAACAGCAAAUACAGAACAAUCAGAAAGCACAAGUGGUAAAGACAGAACCACCAAAUUCCAAUGGAGAUGAACCCAUGCAUUCCUAUCCCAACCCCUAUGAAUGCCGGGAAGAGGAAACAGGAGUAGAGAUACCUGCCAGCAAAUCAACUGUACUUCGUGGCCAUGAAUCUGAAAUUUUCAUCUGCGCUUGGAACCCAACAACUGAUUUAUUGGCUUCUGGCUCUGGCGAUAGUACUGCCAGAAUUUGGAACAUGAAUGACAACUCGUCUUCACCAACUCAACUUGUUCUUAGGCAUUGCAUUCAGAAGGGUGGAACUGAAGUUCCGAGCAACAAAGGCGUAAACUACUUGCUUGUAAUAAACAACUGUCCAUUUUGCCGAAA
rnacentral:lncRNA from 1 species